CAGGCCUAACACAUGCAAGUCGAACGCUUUGUGGUUCAACUGAUAUGAAGAGCUUGCUCGGAUUUGAAGCUGAACAAUGCAAAGAGUGGCGAACGGGUGAGUAACACGUGGGAAACCUACCUCUUAGCGGGGGAUAACACUUGGAAACAAGUGCUAAUACCGCAUAAUACUGAUAACCGCAUGGUUAUCAGUUGAAAGAUGGUUCUGCUAUCACUAAGAGAUGGUCCCGCGGUGUAUUAGCUAGUUGGUAAGGUAAUGGCUUACCAAGGCAAUGAUACAUAGCCGAGUUGAGAGACUGAUCGGCCACAAUGGGACUGAGACACGGCCCAUACUCCUACGGGAGGCAGCAGUAGGGAAUCUUCCACAAUGGACGAAAGUCUGAUGGAGCAACGCCGCGUGUGUGAUGAAGGGUUUCGGCUCGUAAAACACUGUUGUAAGAGAAGAAUGACACUGAGAGUAACUGUUCAGUGUGUGACGGUAUCUUACCAGGAAAGGAACGGCUAAAUACGUGCCACACCCGCGGUAGAUAC
rnacentral:rRNA from 1 species